rnacentral:misc_RNA from 1 species
CACGGUACUAAACUAGGAAUAUCUUCUUUCUAACAAAAAAAGAAUUAUCAAAAUCGGUACACCCAGUAAAAAGUUAUUGCGGAUUUUCAAGAGUUUCCCUCGAUUUCUCUGGGAUCCCAUCAUCAGAUCCUGGUUUCCUUAUCAUGGUACCAAACUAGGGAUAUCUUCUUUCUAACAAAAAAAGAAUUAUCAAAAUCGGUACAUCCAGUAGAAAGUUAUGCGGUAUAAUACAACGUAGGUCGACGAAAAAAGCGUCAAGUA